GACGAACGCUGGCGGCGUGCUUAACACAUGCAAGUCGAGCGGAGCGGCGAACGGGUGAGUAACGCGUGAGUAACUGCCCCCCUCUCUGGGAUAACAGUUGGAAACGGCUUCUAAUACAGGAUAGUGGGGGAUGACUCGCGUCCUAUCAGCUUGUUGGUGGUGUAGUGGCCUACCAAGGCGACGACGGGUAGCCGGCCUGAGAGGGCGACCGGCCCAAUAGGGCUGCGGUAGGGCCCAAACUGCUUCGGUAGGCAGCAGUGGCGAAUAGUGCGCAAGGGGGGGAACCCUGAAGCAGCAACGCCGCGUGCGGGAUGACGGCUGUCAGGUUGUAAACCGCUUUCGGCCAUGACGCGGUAGUGGCAGAGGAAGCACCGGCUAACUACGUGCCAGCAGCCGCGGUAAUUC
rnacentral:rRNA from 1 species